AGUAUAUUUAUCUCAUUGUGUGCAGAGCGAAGCCUCUGAGGUGAGUCGAGAGAGGACGGGAUGCACAGGAAGUUUCAGUGUUAAAUCUCCUAAAGUUUUGAACACAAAGACCCCUGAGCGCCGGCCAGCCCACCCUGCAGAUGGCCGGAGGAUCAGAGGCUGUCAGCACGCUUAAACGAGCCAAGAGUCGAGGCUUCAGCCCUGCGGGGGAGGACACAGCCUGAAUGGGGAGACUGGCAGGUGGCUUCAAUCCAAUUCAACCGUGACUAAGGACAAAGACACUGUCGGGUUUUCUCCUUUUUGUCUAACUUGCGAUUUACAGUUGCGCCCCCCCAUAAAGUAAAACACCCUCUUUCUCUCUCACACACACACACUCUCACUUUAGUUCUGCUCAGUGUUUUCACCAGAGGGCGUCUUCAAGUGGAAUUAUCUUGGGUAGAAAAUAAAAAGAAAUAAUAAUUAAAACAAACAGACACAGCUCUCUGUUGUCAUUCAGUAUUGAAGUGAACUGUCUUUGCCUGCUCUGUGUUAUCUGCCCCCCGUUUAUCCACCUGUUGCAUCUGUUCCCCCCGUUAUUUUAUUUCCACUAAAACUAACUGUGCUAUCACAGAAGCCUGGAGCUCCUCCUCACUUCCUGGCUGCUCUGCCCGAUUAUUAUUUGCCGGCCCGCUGGACGUUUCUGGCACUUCCUCUGGAUUUGUUUGCCUUUUCAAACCCUGCACCGCACAUAAGAACGUUUGUCACACACUUUUCACCCCCGCUGAGCUGAAUAACUUCAACAGGCCCUCUCUCUCUCUGCUACUUCCUAUCAACGCCGCGCUACCGGCGCUCACCGCACCACAGUUCCUGGACAGAUGUUGGCAGAAUUCCUAAUUUCAUUCUCAUUCUCUCAGCCUGUCAGUUUUGAAAGGGGGAAGCAGGACAGAAAAUAAUCGGCAGAACAUCCUAUAAGUCUGAG